ensembl:ncRNA M79.14 ncRNA
UUGUGUCUGCGUCUCCAAUUUCUUAGCACUGUCCGAAUGGACUCGCGAGGACGGGUUGUCGGGGAGGGAGAAAAAGGUUACCGCAAUAGGGUCCACUCACUGACCCUCUGCCUCCAAUCUGACUCCGU